rnacentral:rRNA from 1 species
AUUGAACGCUGGCGGCAGGCCUAACACGUGCAAGUCGAGCGGAUGAAGGGAGCUUGCUCCUGGAUUCAGCGGCGGACGGGUGAGUAAUGCCUAGGAAUCUGCCUGGUAGUGGGGGAUAACGUCCGGAAACGGGCGCUAAUACCGCAUACGUCCUGAUGGUGAAAGUGGGGGAUCUUCGGACCUCACGCUAUCAGAUGAGCCUAGGUCGGAUUAGCUAGUUGGUGGGGUAAAGGCCUACCAAGGCGACGAUCCGUAACUGGUCUGAGAGGAUGAUCAGUCACACUGGAACUGAGACACGGUCCAGACUCCUACGGGAGGCAGCAGUGGGGAAUAUUGGACAAUGGGCGAAAGCCUGAUCCAGCCAUGCCGCGUGUGUGAAGAAGGUCUUCGGAUUGUAAAGCACUUUAAGUUGGUAGGAAGGGCAGUAAGUUAAUACCCUGCUGUUUUGACGUUAACAACAGAAUAAGCACCGGCUAACUUCGUG